rnacentral:tRNA from 1 species
UGGCUCAGCUGGUAAAGAAUCCGCCUGAAAUGCGGGAGACCCGGGUUCAAUCCCCGG